GAUGAACGCUGGCUACAGGCUUAACACAUGCAAGUCGAGGGGAAACGACGGGGAAGCUUGCUUCCCCGGGCGUCGACCGGCGCACGGGUGAGUAACGCGUAUCCAACCUGCCUCUGACUGAGGGAUAACCCGUCGAAAGUCGGCCUAAUACCUCAUGGCAUCGUCUGCGGGCAUCCAACGACGAUUAAAGAUUUCAUCGGUCAGAGAUGGGGAUGCGUCUGAUUAGCUUGUUGGCGGGGUAACGGCCCACCAAGGCGACGAUCAGUAGGGGUUCUGAGAGGAAGGUCCCCCACAUUGGAACUGAGACACGGUCCAAACUCCUACGGGAGGCAGCAGUGAGGAAUAUUAGUCAAUGGGCGAGAGCCUGAACCAGCCAAGUAGCGUGCAGGAUGACGGCCCUAUGGGUUGUAAACUGCUUUUAUGCGGGGAUAAAGUGAGGGACGUGUCCUUCAUUGCAGGUACCGAAUGAAUAAGGACCGGCUAAUUCCGUG
rnacentral:rRNA from 1 species